AUCCUUUUUUGGUUCGUAAGUGUGGGUUUUCAUACUUUUGUGUGGCAUGUGCCUCCCUCAAAUCUUGUUCUGACGUCGGCACAUUACAUGUCUGACG